UACAGAGGUCCCGAGCGUUGUUCGGAUUCACUGGGCGUAAAGGGCGCGUAGGCGGCUCUGCACGUCCGUUGUGAAAUCGCCCGGCUCAACUGGGCGGGGUCAGCGGAUACGGCGGAGCUUGAGCAAGCUAGGGGGCAAUGGAAUUCCCGGUGUAGUGGUGGAAUGCGUAGAUAUCGGGAGGAACAUCAGUGGCGAAAGCGGCUUCCUGGUCCAGCACCGACGUUCAGGCACGAAAGCGUGGGGAGCAAACAGG
rnacentral:rRNA from 1 species